rnacentral:rRNA from 1 species
CAAGGCUUGACAUAUACGAGAACGGGCCAGAAAUGGUCAACUCUUUGGACACUCGUAAACAGGUGGUGCAUGGUUGUCGUCAGCUCGUGUCGUGAGAUGUUGGGUUAAGUCCCGCAACGAGCGCAACCCUCGUUCUAUGUUGCCAGCACGUAAUGGUGGGAACUCAUGGGAUACUGCCGGGGUCAACUCGGAGGAAGGUGGGGAUGACGUCAAAUCAUCAUGCCCCUUAUGUCUUGGGCUUCACGCAUGCUACAAUGGCCGGUACAAAGGGCUGCAAUACCGUAAGGUGGAGCGAAUCCCAAAAAGCCGGUCCCAGUUCGGAUUGAGGUCUGCAACUCGACCUCAUGAAGUCGGAGUCGCUAGUAAUCGCAGAUCAGCAACGCCGCGGUGAAUA